GAUGAACGCUGGCGGCGUGCCUAAUACAUGCAAGUCGAGCGAACGGACGAGAAGCUUGCUUUUCUGAUGUUAGCGGCGGACGGGUGAGUAACACGUGGAUAACCUACCUAUAAGACUGGGAUAACUUCGGGAAACCGGAGCUAAUACCGGAUAAUAUUUUGAACCGCAUGGUUCAAAAGUGAAAGACGGUCUUGCUGUCACUUAUAGAUGGAUCCGCGCUGCAUUAGCUAGUUGGUAAGGUAACGGCUUACCAAGGCAACGAUGCAUAGCCGACCUGAGAGGGUGAUCGGCCACACUGGAACUCAGACACGGUCCAGACUCCUACGGGAGGCAGCAGUAGGGAAUCUUCCGCAAUGGGCGAAAGCCUGACGGAGCAACGCCGCGUGAGUGAUGAAGGUCUUCGGAUCGUAAAACUCUGUUAUUAGGGAAGAACAUAUGUGUAAGUAACUGUGCACAUCUUGACGGUACCUAAUCAGAAAGCCACGGCUAACUACGUG
rnacentral:rRNA from 1 species